CUGCAGACUUGCCACCUUGCAUCAAUAGAUUUCACAAGAAAAGGAUUAAUACUUGAUAGUCGAUUGGGCAACAAUGUGGCCGACGCAACCGUAUAUGGGAUCGUGGACCCUUGCCUCUGCCUCGUAUGUGAUUGUUGCCAUUGCCUCUUCCCGUACCUCCGGCGGCACUUGGUGAAGGAGCAUCUUCGAUACUUUGCUAGCCCCAAACACACGAUGGAUGGCUGCAAAUUGUGUUGCCCCUUCCUCCGUGCUAAAGUAGGGAGCGAAAAUGCAACAUUCCUGCUCGCACUUUCUCCGUAGGAACUUGCACGCACCACACGGGGAGCUCAUGGCCAUGUUUCAUGCGCAUAUGUUAUAACUGAUGGUCUAUUAAUUCUUGGGAGGAAGAGAGGAUGACGAAGCUGGCCUUGGAUUGCCACCACAUGGAUUUAUAUAAGGAUAUUGAGAGGAAGGGGGUGGUGUAGGGUAGAUGGGGGACAUAUACUAAUGCUGCAAUUGAUGGUAGGAAUAGUUUUUUCGAAAGUAGGGGAGGUGCACCUGAUCAUGAUGAUGAUGAUGCACACAUAAUUGGUAGAUAAAGACUUUGAAAACGUUAUAAAAUUCUACUUAAUGCU